GAUCUGGAGGAUCUCCUCUAUCCGACCAUACUCAUUUUAUCCCCGAAAGCGUGGGACGUUAUACUAAAGUUUUCCCAUUUUUUUUUUUGUCUUACAAUUACUCGUUCAAAAAGGUAUGAUUCAUCGCACCUGAAACGUUGAUGCGGGAUGCGCGGCGUUUAGUUACAACGAGUAUAGACAGUAUCUAUUAGACACACCGUGGACGGACCGACAGACGAACGCAUAUAGCCGUGUACACACAAAAACAAACAUACAUACAUAUGUAUGCAGAUAACACUCACACGACGCUGUUGAACAUAUAGCGCCAGCGAUCGCUAUCCGAAUUUCACUUAAAAGUAUUACGAAUACAUAUGACGUUUAUGAAAUUAUUAAAUGGCUUGUUUUAAUCACACACAAAAAAAACGAAAAACACUCGACAGACGAAACAAAUUGUGCAGCAACAAUGAGAAAGCGAAAGCAAAAUAAAUUUACAAUGUUGCCAGAAGAGUGCGCUGUGGAAAAGUUGAGAAAGUGUGGCGGCGCUGAUACGAAAAUUUAACGCCGGUAAAUCGUGCUGCUUGACAAAUUUUUUAGUAGAGAAAACAUACAUUAUUUUGGAAGAAGUUUAAAAAGUAACCCAAAUUCGGGGAUAUAAUCUGUAUGGGCGGAUAAGUUAAAGAAUAUUUUUAUAUAUAUAGCCACGACAACUUUUCGUUUAAAAUGUAAAAAUUCAGCAAUGUAAAUUAUGCAAGUUUUUUCGAUUUUUAAUAUAAUUUAAUCCCAGCUUAUUAUUUGAUGAAA